GUGUGUGGAUGGUGUUCAGCACCACGGACAGGUGUGUUUACUUGUGUGUGGAUGGUGUUCAGCACCAGGGACAGGUGUGUUUGCCU
rfam:Branchiostoma floridae genomic scaffold BRAFLscaffold_215, whole genome shotgun sequence.